rnacentral:rRNA from 1 species
UCAGUCGUGCCGGUGAGAAAUCAACAUAACGGGUUUUGGGUUCGUGAGUUUGAGGUAGGGUCAAAUCAUCUCUCUUUUGAAUUCGGGGCUUGUUGCGUGUACUUUCUCUUUGGCAGGUCAACGUCGAUUUUGUGGGCUGUAAAAUAACUGGGGGAAUGUAGCUCCUUUCGGGGAGUGUUAUAGACCCUGGGGGAUACAACCUGCGGGAUCGAGGAUUGCAGCAAAUGCUUUUGGCUUGUCGCCUGUCCGUUGAAUGCUGCCCUGCUGGUGACAAUAUUUCUUGACACUUUGUGGGGUUAGGUAGUCACUGGUUAGAGCGAUCUGAAA